UACGAAGGGGCUAGCGUUGCUCGGAAUCACUGGGCGUAAAGCGCACGUAGGCGGAUUGUUAAGUCAGGGGUGAAAUCCUGGAGCUCAACUCCAGAACUGCCUUUGAUACUGGCGAUCUCGAGUCCGGGAGAGGUGAGUGGAACUGCGAGUGUAGAGGUGAAAUUCGUAGAUAUUCGCAAGAACACCAGUGGCGAAGGCGGCUCACUGGCCCGGUACUGACGCUGAGGUGCGAAAGCGUGGGAGCAAC
rnacentral:rRNA from 1 species